rnacentral:tRNA from 1 species
GGAGGGUGGGCAGGACGGUAAUGCGUUGGUCUUGAAAACCAAUGUCCGUAAGGGCUAACAGGUUCGACUCCUGUACCCUCCGCCA